GUGUCAGCCGCCGCGGUAAUACGAAGGGGGCUAGCGUUGUUCGGAAUUACUGGGCGUAAAGCGCACGUAGGCGGCUCAUUAAGUCAGGGGUGAAAUCCCGGGGCUCAACCUCGGAAUUGCCUCUGAUACUGGUGAGCUUGAGUCCGAGAGAGGUGAGUGGAACUCCGAGUGUAGAGGUGAAAUUCGUAGAUAUUCGGAAGAACACCAGUGGCGAAGGCGGCUCACUGGCUCGGUACUGACGCUGAGGUGCGAAAGCGUGGGGAGCAAACAGGAUUAGAUACCCUUGUAGUCC
rnacentral:rRNA from 1 species